rnacentral:lncRNA from 1 species
UUCCUAAGGCAAUCCAGAUAGGAGAUUACGUAGUGAUUUCAUACGAAGGUGAAAGGUUUCCAGGAAUUGUAAAGGCAGUUAUAAACAAAAAUCCAAAACAAUACGAGGUCAAAACAAUGACAUAUAGUGGAACCAAUUGGCGCUGGCCUGAUAAGGACGAUAUACUAAUUUACAACUCUGAGGAUGUCUUGAAGAAAAUAAAAUGCCCUAUACCAGUCAACAAAAGGGGUAUAUUUUCUGUUCCGGAUUUUAAUGAUGCCGAUAAUUAGUUUCUAUUGUGGAUUUCCAAACUGUUUAAUUUUAAUUUUUUUGUUAAUAUGUUUUAAACUUAUGUCAGUAACAUCCUUGUGACUAAUUUCAACUAACAAGGUAUAUCCCAUUUUUUUA